CGCAGUCUGAUUCGCCUGUUUCCUUUUACUCGCAUCUUGAUUCUAGUGAACAAAGUGAUAGCGAGGUAAGACAUACUCAACUCUAGCAUUCGAAACUUCAUUGCAAAUUAUACUGGUGAAGGGAUAAAUUACCAUUUUCAGUAGACGAACUUUACUUCACCUUUUCUAGUACCACAUUUAUCAGCAGUACAGUUUUACACCAUUCAUCCUUGUGAAUUAUCGUCACCAAAGUUGAACAUCUGAAUGAUUGGAGAUACAUGCCUACAGAGACCAAAGAUUUGUGUUAAUGUAGAACUAAAAACUAGAUAAGUUGUUUAUAAUUUUUACCGAAGUAGUUGCCUGAACUUUGAUCUGGGCUUUAACCCUUUAGAUUUAAA
rnacentral:lncRNA from 1 species